rnacentral:tRNA from 3 species
GGGCCGGUGGUCUAGCUUGGUUAAGAUACCGCCUUGACAUGGCGGGGUUCGAGGGUUCAAAUCCCUUCCGGCCCACCA